AAAUAACGUCUGAGACAUUAUAUUCUAUUAGUGUUUAGAUGUGUGGUUUUCUUCUUUUUAUCUGAUUUUGGCUUGUUUCACAGAGGAAGCGCAUGGUUGUUCCAGCUGCUCUUAAGGUUGUGCGUCUGAAGCCCACUCGCAAGUUCGCUCUGCUUGGGCGUCUGGCACUGAGGUCGGCUGGAAGUACCAGGCCAUCACAGCUACCCUGGAGGAGAAGAGAAAGGAGAAGGCUAAGCUUCGCUAUGGCAGAGAAAA